rnacentral:lncRNA from 1 species
UGGGGCUGUUUUGGAUCAUGAAUAACUUGUUAGUAUUGAAACUCCCUAAUUCUCUCUAUGGUGCAUGAUUAAAUUAGAAGGGAGAAGAAGAAAAGAAUCACAAUUAAUGUAUUCAUCACAAGCAAUACAAAGAAAGUUCAAGAACGAUAAAUAUACAACAAGUCAGAAAAGAGUUUAAGGCUUACCAACGGAGGGGAGGAUUCCUCCGGUUAUUGUUGCAAAGAGUCG